CAACCUCAGAUCAGAUGGGGAGACCCACUGAAUGUAAGCAUCUCAAUAGGCAGAGGAUAAAAAACUUACCAGGAUUCCUUCAGUUAUGGCAAGUGAAGAGGGAAGAUCACAGCGCUGAAUCUCCAUCCAGCGGUGGGCACAGGAAUUGUGGCACACAGAACACCGAUUCCUCGAGUGCUUCGGAUAGAGGCCCACCACGCGUAUCGUUUUAGGCCACUAGCGCCCCCCGGUGUACUGCGAUUGGGUCUUCUCAGAGUCAAAUUGCUUGGGAAUGCAUCCCAAAGCAGAUGGUAGACUCCAUAUAAAGCUAAAUACGGGUAUUGUAAGUGAAAGUUGGAAAGAACUUUGAAAGGGUGUGAACACAUCGGGAGGUAAGCAGGUGGGGUCCGUGUAGUCUGCACAGAGGAUUCAACACAGUGGGCAGGUUGGCCGCCCGGAUGGCGGAUCCCCUUGACCCACCCAGCCCCGCAGGGAACAUUCUCUCUGUGGAGGUGAACUGUGAUUGGCUCUGGGUUGGCUGGGGAGGCCACAGGGGCAGGUGACUCUUUGCUCCAGCUUAGAGCGUUACAGCCCCUGGCUGCAGUUUUGCCAUGUCCACAAGGCAGAGAGAGAUUGGCCACUGGCAUGCCCUCCUCAAGGUCACUGUUGCCCCCCUGAUCCUAGUGCUACUGUCGACAGGGCUGUACUGUCCACCGUGUGACCUCACUGUGUCACAAAGCCAGUCGAGUAGGCUGAUGAAGGGCACUCAGGGGUCUGUGGUGAUGUUGGAUACCCACCAAACCCGUCUUUAAGCACAGACCAAGGAAUCUAACAUGUCUCAAAGAGCCAAACAAAAUCCAGUGGUGCGAUGAAGGUGAGGGCCAGCGCACGCCCGCUCAGGUGGUAUCCCAUUGUGGCAUCACGGCGGGUGCACCACCAGCCUAUCUCUCCCGCUCUGCCGGAAAGGUGGAACAUGAGUGUGUGUUAUAGAACCUGAAAAGAUGGCGAACUAUGCCUGGGCAGGGCAAAGUCAGAGGGAACUCUGGUGGAGGUCCGUAGCGGUCCUGACAUGCAAAUCGGUCGUCCGACCUGGGCAUAGGGACAAAAGACUAAUCGAACCAUCUAGUAGCUGGUUGCCUCCCAAGUUUCACUCAGGAUAGCUGCCGCUCGGAUAUGCCGGUUUAUCUGUAAAAGCGAAUAAUUAGAGGUCUCGGGCCAAAACAAUCUCAACCCAUUUCUCAAACUUUAAAUGGAUAAGAAGCCCGGCUCACUGGCGUGGAGCCAGGCAUCUUAUGCCAGUUUCCAGUAUGCCACUUUUGGCAAGCAUAAAUGGGCGCUGCGGGAUGAACUAAAUGCCAAGUCAAAGCGCACAAUGUUGAUGCUCAUCAGACCCCUGAAAAGGUGAUGGUUGAUAUAGACAGCAGAAAUGGAAUCUGCUAAGGAGGGUGUAACAAAUCACCUACUGAAUCAACUAGCCCCGACACUGGGUGGCACUGGAGCAUCAGGCCCAUAGCCAUCUGUUUCCGGUGCUGAUAGCUUCAGGGGAUAACCCAAGAUGAGUAGGAGGGCUGUAACAAAGUGCAUUGGUAGCCCAGGGCCAGUGUGCAGGUGGAUAUGCUGCAGGUGCUGAUCUUGGUGGUAGUAGCAAAUAUUAUAAUGAGAACAUUGAAGGCCAAAAUGGAGGAGGGUACCACUUGAACAGCUUUUGAACAUGGGGCAGUCAUUCCUAAGAGAUGGGCGAACGCCGUUCAGAGGGACUGGUAAUGGCCUCUGUUGCCCUGAGCCGAUUGAAAGGGAGUUGGUUUCAGAUCCAUGAACACAGAGUGGCAUAGACGGGCGCCCUUGUGGCAUCUUUGUGGUAACGCAAACAUUCCUGCAGAAUCCAGUGGGCGCCCCAGGGAGAGUUCUAUUUUCUUUGUGAAGGGCAGGGCACCCUGGAAUGGAUUUUCCCCGAGUGAGAGGCACCCGAGUAUCCGAAAGCAUUGCGGAUCUGGCCAUGUCCUGUGAGCACUUGAUGGUCCUUGAAAGUCUGGGGGUGAUGGUGUGAAUCUCACACCGCGCCAUACCCAUAUCUGUAGCAGCUCUCCAAUGUGAACAGUCUCUGGCAUGUUGGAACAAUGUAAGUAAGGGAAGUGAGCAAGUCAGAUCUGUAACUUUGGGAUAAAAAUUGGCUCUAAGGGCUGGAUCUGCACUGGAUGCAAGCCAGGCCCUUAUUGUGGAUUGCACCAGCUGGGGGAGUGACCCACUUCAUUCCAUCCCGGGGUUUAGGGUCAGCGUUCUACCACGGUGGAUGCGUAGUAGCUGAUUUAUAACUGAUGCCAACCAGGGGAAUCUGUCGAUUUAAUUAAACAAUGCAUCACAAAGGCCCCUGGCAGGUGUUGAGGUGAUGUAAUUUCUGCCCAGUGCUCUGAAUGUCCAAGGUAAGAAAUGCAAUGAAGCACAGAUGGAUGGCGUAACUAUGACUUUCUUAAAAUAGCCAAAUGCCUUGUCGUCUAUUUAGUGACGCACAUUAAUGGAUGAACAGGAUUCACACUGUCACUUCCUACUAUCUAGUGAAACCACAGCCAAGGGAAUGGUCUUAGAAGAAUCAGCUGAGUAAGAAUACCCUGUUGAGCAUGACUCUAGUCUGCAACUGCGAAGAGACAUGAGAGAUGUAGGAUAUGUGGGAGGCCCUUUCGUUGGCUUUGAAAUACUUACCCGGUGAGGCUGGGGGUCAAGCUCCAUUAGGCUGUUGCUUCUGGCUCAAAGGACCAGCCAGGCGCAUCGCUCUGGGAUCAGCGGCAGGUGGGGAGAUUGACUGGGCAGUACACCUGUCAAACGAUAAUGCAGGUGUCCUAAAGUGAGCUCAUAGAGGAUAGAAACAUCCCAUGGAGCAGAAGAGCAAAACUUGCUUGAGUUCAAUUUUCAGUAUGAAUACAGUCCAUGAAAGCAGGGGCUCAUGACUUUUCACUUUUUGGGUUUCAAGCAGGAGGUGUCAGUGAAUUUCCACAUGAAUAGUUGUCUUGAUGAGGCCAAGAGUGCAUAGUGACAUCACAUUUUGGUCCUUCCAUGUUGUCUCUUCCUAUCAUUGUGAAGCAGAAUUCACCAAACAUUGGAUUGUUCACCCACUAAUAGGGAAUGCGAGCUGACUUUAGACUGCAUGUGAGAGGUUAGUUUUUCCCCACUGAUGAUGUGUUCUAGCAAUAGUAAUUUUGCUCAGUACAAGAGGAACUGCAGUUUCAGAUAUUUGGUGUAUUUGCUUGGCUGAAGAGCCAAUGGGGCAAAACUAUCAUUUGUGGGAUUAUGACUGAACAUCUCUAAGUCAGAAUCCCCCCUAAACCAUAAUGGUACUGCAGUGCUGAGGAGCCUGCAUUGGCUUGGGUUAGUCAUUCUUUGGGCCAGUGCGUAGAGCCACUCACCUCAGGAAUCGACUUUGGACAGAAGGGGCACACCUCUCUCGCCCAUGUUGU
rnacentral:rRNA from 1 species